AGUAAAGAGAGGUAGGGGGAUCCACUCUCGCAGGGCGCUACUGUGCGCAUGUACGGCUUUUGUACCACGUGCAGCUUCUAUAUUCCAUGCUUAGCGUGUGUCGCUGUAUCCUACGGUCGUUUUUUCUUGUAACUGUUUGGUUAGAAUUAUGUUAUUGAAGAUUGCAUUAUGAGAAUGGUGUAAACAUCUCAAACAGCAGAGUGGUAGUAUAUAAUUCGUAUAAUCAGAGAUGAAAUAAGGCGGCAUUGGCGUCACGCGUUUGAAAAAUACUUAUCUACUUCGUUUGUCCCAGUAUUUGAGGGGUAAUGCGAGAAUACUAACAGGGUGGUAUCGAAUCGAUUAAAUUACUACGAGAAAUCGGCGAUGAUGUUCGAUCGUGUAUUCGGGCCAUGAAUUCGAUUAGGCAUUGCGUGGCCCACGACGCGGAUAGUCUGUUUACCGUGUCGAUUUAGGAACUUGAUAUCCUCGACGUGCAGCGUGGUAAGUCCGUAGAUUCGUACGCGUAUCACAGGGCAACGCGUUAUAGAAUUUCCUCGUUCCAUAUCGAAUUUAGCUGUCCCUUUCAGCGCGUCAUUUGUCUUGGUAUGUCUAUCCACGAACCCUCGUAAUAACUUCAAGCUUCGUUUCACUCGAGUCGUGCAAACAUUGCGAUCGACUAGUAACUAGCAUUGUGAUACAGUUAUCGAGAUUACUAUACACGAGUACACGUGGAUGUUAGUCUUUGAAAUAUGUAAGAUAUUUAUAACGAAAAGUAAACGUAUCAUUUAAAUUAAAUUAAAAUAAAUUAUCGCAAAGGGAGCGUUGACAGUACUGGUUGGCACUGAUACUUGAACACGAAGAAGACAGAAAUCUUGUGUAUUUUGAUGUUUGUAGUAAAAUAGUAAAAGCUGU